rnacentral:RNase_P_RNA from 1 species
UGAGCAGACCGGGCAGCCGCGGCGCGCGAUUUUAUGCGCACGAGGAAAGUCCGGGCAUCAUAGAGCAGGGCAGCUGCUAACAGCAGCCGGGGGCGACCCUAGGGCUAGUGCAACAGAGAUGAGACUGCAUCGGCUUUUGCCGGUGUAACGGUGGAAAGGUGCGGUAAGAGCGCACCAGAGCGUAUGAGAAUGCGCUGCUGUGUAAACCCUGUCCGAUGCAACGCCGAAUUGGUACGGGAUAUCGCAACGUCUGCUCGGCGGAUCUCCCGUAUAGGCGGCUUGAGCACGCCGGCGACAGCGUGCCUAGAUAAAUGGCUGCCGUCAUUCCAAACAGAAUGAAGACAGAACCCGGCUUACAGGUCUGGUCACAAC